AUUGAACGCUGGCGGCAGGCCUAACACAUGCAAGUCGAGCGGAUGAAGGGAGCUUGCUCCUGGAUUCAGCGGCGGACGGGUGAGUAAUGCCUAGGAAUCUGCCUGGUAGUGGGGGAUAACGUCCGGAAACGGGCGCUAAUACCGCAUACGUCCUGAGGGAGAAAGUGGGGGAUCUUCGGACCUCACGCUAUCAGAUGAGCCUAGGUCGGAUUAGCUAGUUGGUGGGGUAAAGGCCUACCAAGGCGACGAUCCGUAACUGGUCUGAGAGGAUGAUCAGUCACACUGGAACUUAGACACCGUCCAGACUCCUACGGGAGGCAGCAGUUGGGAAUAUUGGACAAUGGGCGAAAGCCUGAUCCAGCCAUGCCGCGUGUGGGAAGAAGGUCUUCGGAUUGUAAAGCCCUUUAAGUUGGGAGGAAGGGCAGUAAGUUAAUACCUUGCUGUUUUGACGUUACCAACAGAAUAAGCACCGGCUAACUUCGUG
rnacentral:rRNA from 1 species